rnacentral:rRNA from 1 species
CCCUGCUGUAGUACCACUUCAGUUUAUGAUCCCAUCAUAUUUCAUUAACUAAACAGGAUCAAACCUGGUCAGUACUUAGGUGGAAUCCUUUUGACGAAAACCAAGGUGCUGAAGGAA